AGAAGCUUGCUUCUCUGAUGUUAGCGGCGGACGGGUGAGUAACACGUGGAUAACCUACCUAUAAGACUGGGAUAACUUCGGGAAACCGGAGCUAAUACCGGAUAAUAUUUUGAACCGCAUGGUUCAAAAGUGAAAGACGGUCUUGCUGUCACUUAUAGAUGGAUCCGCGCUGCAUUAGCUAGUUGGUAAGGUAACGGCUUACCAAGGCAACGACGCAUAGCCGACCUGAGAGGGUGAUCGGCCACACUGGAACUGAGACACGGUCCAGACUCCUACGGGAGGCAGCAGUAGGGAAUCUUCCGCAAUGGGCGAAAGCCUGACGGAGCAACGCCGCGUGAGUGAUGAAGGUCUUCGGAUCGUAAAACUCUGUUAUUAGGGAAGAACAUAUGUGUAAGUAACUGUGCACAUCUUGACGGUACCUAAUCAGAAAGCCACGGCUAACUACGUGCCAGCAGCCGCGGUAAUACGUAGGUGGCAAGCGUUAUCCGGAAUUAUUGGGCGUAAAGCGCGCGUAGGCGGUUUUUUAAGUCUGAUGUGAAAGCCCACGGCUCAACCGUGGAGGGUCAUUGGAAACUGGAAAACUUGAGUGCAGAAGAGGAAAGUGGAAUUCCAUGUGUAGCGGUGAAAUGCGCAGAGAUAUGGAGGAACACCAGUGGCGAAGGCGACUUUCUGGUCUGUAACUGACGCUGAUGUGCGAAAGCGUGGGGAUCAAACAGGAUUAGAUACCCGGGUAGUCCACGCCGUAAACGAUGAGUGCUAAGUGUUAGGGGGUUUCCGCCCCUUAGUGCUGCAGCUAACGCAUUAAGCACUCCGCCUGGGGAGUACGACCGCCAAGGUUG
rnacentral:rRNA from 1 species